UCUUAUCUUGACGGCACAGAUGGCAUCAUCGUGUUGAGUGACAGUUGUAAUGUAAAUAGGCGAAUAAUGAGCCUCGGCUCUACUUGUUUUCGUCAUAGCCGCACGUCCCGCCCCCAAACACAAUUGUUGCUUUGUGAUUGGGCCACUUGACUAGUGGUACUGCUCGCAGCAGAUCUGUGGGUUCGGGACAAGAUGUAUUCUGUUUGUUUUUUUGUUUUUGUUUUUUUAACUCUCAAACACUGCAAAAAUUCACUUUUCAGGCAAGGAAACAGAGAUCAAAGGAAUUACUACCGGAGAUCAACAAGAUUACUGUACAUUCACAUCAGAAAGGAGCUAAAAAGUCAAGAGAGAAUCACAACAUUGGGAUCAGAGAUUAAAAUCACAAUUCAAAAUAGACACUACAGUGGGACCUUGGCAUCUCCGCUGAGGCUGGGCUGCAGAAGCGCGGUCAGUGACUUGUUGAUGGCGGCAGCCUCUACUAAGCGUGGGCCUUCGGCCUCCGUCCGGGAGAUACGCUCGGACCCGGCCAGGUCGCCCAAGGUCAACGUACCCCGUGUACUCUCUCCAGACAACGAGUCAUUGCCACAAACCUCCAGCGCUACCAGCAAGUGAGAGCGAGAACUAAAUGCAAGAAUACAGAAGUGUCCAUGACGUUGAUGAUGUCAUCCUCGGUCCGAACCUCCACGUGGGUCAGUCCCGGCACAGACACAAACUUACCCUGCACGCGGAUGUCCAGAGUGGAGGAAGCGGUAGGGUUUUUCGCUAGCAGGUCGUUCAGAGUGUCGUUGUAAAUCUCCAACAUGGAAAUCUGCAUGCAUCCCAAACCCCAAAAAGUUACUGUUAAUGUCUUUGAAGGAGA